rnacentral:rRNA from 1 species
AUUGAACGCUGGCGGCAGGCCUAACACAUGCAAGUCGAGCGGAUGAAUGGUGCUUGCUCCUGGAUUCAGCGGCGGACGGGUGUGUAAUUCCUAUGAAUCUGCCUGGUAGUGGUUGAUAACGUCCUGAAACGGGCGCUAAUACCGCAUACGUCCUGAGUGUGUAAGUUGUGGUUCUUCUGACCUCACGCUUUCUUAUGAGCCUAGGUCGGAUUAGCUAGUUGGUGGGGUAAAGGCCUACCAAGGCGACGAUCCGUAACUGGUAUGAGAGGAUGAUCAGACACACUGGAAGUGAGACACGGAAAAGACAAGUAAGGGAGGAAGCAGUGGGGAAUAUUGGACAAUGGGCGAAAGAAUGAUACAGCAAAGCCGAGUGUGUGAAGAAGGUCUUCGGAUUGUAAAGAACUUUAAGUUGGGAGGAAGGGAAGUAAGUUAAUAACUUGCUGUAUUGACGUUAACAACAGAAUAAGCACCGGCUAACUACGUG